AGUGGAAUUGCUGGAUGAUAUGGUAAUUCUCUGUUUAACUUUUUGAGGAACUGCCAAACUGUUUUCCAUAGUGGCUGAACCAUUUUAAUUCCCACUAGCAAU
rnacentral:pre_miRNA from 3 species